UAUCGUUUUUAGUUCAUACAGUGGACUAUACAUAUAAUGGUUUUCAAAACUGCCGUGAAAAUUCUGCCAGCUCAGAUGAAGCCAUACAAUAUUGGAGUGAAUUAUGUAACUUAUAAUUGUUUAAAAAGAAUUUAACAAGUAUGGCACAUAAAAUAACAAACAUUAAUUUUGAGGAAUGUUGGACAUUAGUACAAGGAUCUGUAAAGAAAAUCAUAACAAUGGACAAUAUAUUAAGAGACGCAUUGAACAAAUGUUUCGAUAUUUUUGAUGAUCCACACAGUCAGAAACUUUAUAAUUCAAAAAAGUUUUUACAAGAGGAACGGGUACUUCAACUAUUAAGUAUUUUUCCAACCGAAAAUAUUGCAAAUCUGUUGGAAAAUUAUCAUGGAAAUUGGCAAAAGUAUUCCAAAAGUAGAAUAAACCUAACCUAACCACUAAGUAUGUUUUUUUAAGAUUAGAGAUAUGGUAUGUAUGGAAAGCGUAAUAUGAUUUUAGUUUGAAAGACAGUCUGCCCAAAUUAUUAAUUGAUGAGAUUAACAAACUACAACGUAACAUAUCAAUAACCACAAUACCACAACUCCGGAUAUCAUUGUUGCUGUUAUUAACACAUUUUUAGAAGUACAGGCAUCCAACGAUUGUCCAUUUGAAUCAUAACAUUUAUUUUGAGGAACCCGUGAUAUUUCCUGAGAUAGCAUCUAUCAAAGACAGUUGGCCCAACAAUUAAUACUAAACCGUUCCAUAGACCUAGAAGAAGGAAUGAUAAAGAAUUUAAAAAAAGAUUGUGGUUACGAGUUUACAAGUAACUUACAUCAAAUGUUAUUUUAUAUCAAAGUAUUUGAUGAACUAUAUUCACAAUUUAUUAGUGAACUGCUGUUGAUGAUUUAAAUAUCUCUUUUUCUGAGUACGUAUUGCAAGCUACAACUUGGCCUUCAGGAUUAACAGAUAUAUCAUCAUUUGUUCUUCCUGAACCACCGAAACUUCUUGCA